GAACUUAGCAGAGAUGCUUUGGUGCCUUCGGGAACUCUGAGACAGGUGCUGCAUGGCUGUCGUCAGCUCGUGUUGUGAAAUGUUGGGUUAAGUCCCGCAACGAGCGCAACCCUUUAUCCUUUGUUGCCAGCGGUCCGGCCGGGAACUCAAAGGAGACUGCCAGUGAUAAACUGGAGGAAGGUGGGGAUGACGUCAAGUCAUCAUGGCCCUUACGAGUAGGGCUACACACGUGCUACAAUGGCGCAUACAAAGAGAAGCGACCUCGCGAGAGCAAGCGGACCUCAUAAAGUGCGUCGUAGUCCGGAUUGGAGUCUGCAACUCGACUCCAUGAAGUCGGAAUCGCUAGUAAUCGUGGAUCAGAAUGCCACGGUGAAUACGUUCCCGGGCCUUGUACACACCGCCCGUCACACCAUGGGAGUGGGUUGCAAAAGAAGUAGGUAGCUUAACCUUCGGGAGGGCGCUUACCACUUUGUGAUUCAUGACUGGGGUGAAGUCGUAACAAGGUAGGCGUAGUGCU
rnacentral:rRNA from 1 species